ACUCUUUGGCAGUUGCGCUGGGUACUGGCUGAGUUCUGGAAAACAGGAAUGUGAGCAGAGUGCUGCAGAUCUCCUUGUCAGGAGCACCUAAGAACUGGCAUGACUCUACACCCUCUCUCCUUCUGCAAUGGUCUCGUGUCAAGAUGGCAGACCUGCAGAGAUGAAUGUGCCUGGAUACCUGAGUCACCAGGUGGAGGAAACUCCCAUUGACCUGCAUCACACUCCACGUAUGAAACCCUUCUUUUUCUGCACUGUCACUGAGGUUAGGGAUUAUUACUCACUGCAACUUAGCCUAGCAUUAAUUUGCUUGACUAAUACAAGUUUCAAUAAAUGUUGCUCCAUUUCCCAUGGCUUCUGACUGAAUGCUGUGCAAUAUCCACAAACCAUCCAGAUGGUGGUUUAUAAAUACCACCCUUCACUAAAAGGACUCAGAGCUCCUUGGAGAAGUGGCUGAUGCUAAGGUUAUGGUAGGGAAGUACAAGGUGAGCCCAGAGUGCUGUGUGGUGCCAGAAAGCAAGGACGCAUUUAAAAAAUGGCAGGAACAUGUCAAAGGACACAUCAAUCAACUUGAAGGGGCUUCCACUGGCCAAAU
rnacentral:lncRNA from 1 species